AAUUAUAUUUAAUAAUAGUAUAUUUUACAUUUUCUAUCUAUUUGAAAGAGAUGAUAUUAUAUUUANUUUGGUUUUUUCCAUCCCAAUUUUCUCAUUUUUUGUUUUUUUUUUUUCAUCCCAAUUUUCUCAUUUUUUGGGUUUUUUUCCAUCCCAAUUUUCUCCUUUUUUUGGGUUUUUUUCCAUCCCAAUUUUCUCCUUUUUUUGGGGUUUUUUCCAUCCCAAUUUUCUCCUUUUUUGGGGUUUGUUCAAUCCCAAUUUUCUCCUUUUUUGGUUUUUUUUCCAUCCCAAUUUUCUCCUUUUUUUGGGUUUUUUUCCAUCCCAAUUUUCUCAUUUUUUGGUUUUUUUUCCAUCCCAAUUUUCUCAUUUUUUUGCGUUUUUUUCCAUCCCAAUUUUCUCCUUUUUUUCCAUCCCAAUUUUCUCCUUUUUUGGUUUUUUUUUCCCUCCCAAUUUUCUCCUUUUUUGUUUUUUUUUCCCAUCCCAAUUUUCUCAUUUUUUGGGUUUUUUUCCAUCCCAAUUUUCUAAUUUUUUUUGUUUUUUUUCCACCCCAAUUUUCCCAUUUUUUGGGUUUUUUUCCAUCCCAAUUUUCUAAUUUUUUUGGGUUUUUUCCAUCCCAAUUUUCUCCUUUUUUGGGUUUUUUUUCCAUCCCAAUUUUCUCAUUUUUUUGGGUUUUUUUCCAUCCCAAUUUUCUCCUUUUUUUGGGGUUUGUUCAAUCCCAAUUUUCUCAUUUUUUGGUUUUUUUUCCCUCCCAAUUUUCUCAUUUUUUGUUUUUUUUCCCAUCCCAAUUUUCCCAUUUUUUGGGUUUUUUUCCAUCCCAAUUUUCCCAUUUUUUGGUUUUUUUUCCCUCCCAAUUUUCUCCUUUUUUGGGGUUUUUUCCAUCCCAAUUUUCUCCUUUUUUUGGGUUUUUUUCCAUCCCAAUUUUCUCAUUUUUUUGGUUUUUUCCAUCCCAAUUUUCUCAUUUUUUGUUUUUUUUUUUUCAUCCCAAUUUUCUCAUUUUUUGGGUUUUUUUCCAUCCCAAUUUUCUCCUUUUUUUGGGUUUUUUUCCAUCCCAAUUUUCUCCUUUUUUUGGGGUUUUUUCCAUCCCAAUUUUCUCCUUUUUUGGGGUUUGUUCAAUCCCAAUUUUCUCCUUUUUUGGUUUUUUUUCCAUCCCAAUUUUCUCCUUUUUUUGGGUUUUUUUCCAUCCCAAUUUUCUCAUUUUUUGGUUUUUUUUCCAUCCCAAUUUUCUCAUUUUUUUGCGUUUUUUUCCAUCCCAAUUUUCUCCUUUUUUUCCAUCCCAAUUUUCUCCUUUUUUGGUUUUUUUUUCCCUCCCAAUUUUCUCCUUUUUUGUUUUUUUUUCCCAUCCCAAUUUUCUCAUUUUUUGGGUUUUUUUCCAUCCCAAUUUUCUAAUUUUUUUUGUUUUUUUUCCACCCCAAUUUUCCCAUUUUUUGGGUUUUUUUCCAUCCCAAUUUUCUAAUUUUUUUGGGUUUUUUCCAUCCCAAUUUUCUCCUUUUUUGGGUUUUUUUUCCAUCCCAAUUUUCUCAUUUUUUUGGGUUUUUUUCCAUCCCAAUUUUCUCCUUUUUUUGGGGUUUGUUCAAUCCCAAUUGUUUCUCCAUCCCAGUUUUCUCCGCUUUUGGGGUUUUCUCCAUCCCAAUUUUUUCUCCUCGUUUGGGGUUUUUUCCAUUCAAAUUUUCUGCUCUUUUGGGGUUUAUCCCAUCACAAAUUUCUCCUCUUUUUGGGGUUUAUUUCAUCCCAAUUUUCUCCUCUUUUUGGGGUUUGUUCCAUCCCAAAUUUUUCUGCUCUUUUGGGGUUAUUUCCAUCACAAUUUUCCC
rnacentral:lncRNA from 1 species